rnacentral:lncRNA from 1 species
GUACCAUCAAAAAAUAGUAAGGAAUCAUCUGCAAAGAAAAGGUGAAAAACCGGAGGGCAACCAACUUUCGCGCAACACCCAUGCAAAAGGCCCCUAUUUUCACUAUCCUGAAUCAACAAAGACAGUCCUUCAGCAACAAUUAAGAAUAAAUAGGGAGAAAUGGGAUCCCCUGCCAGAGACCCUGACUUGGAACCACAGGACCAAUCUCUGCUCCGUUAACAGCAA